UGCAGGUAGUGAAGAGGGAGGAGAUAAGUCAGCUGGGGAACAGGCAUGUAGCUGGGUCACAGUUACACGUGGUGGUAGAGGGGGAGGAAAGAGGAAAGCAGGAUAUUACUGUGCUGCAGAGGGAUCUAGAUAGACUGGGGGACUGGGCACACAAAUGGCAGAUGAAAUUCAAUGUAGAUAAAUGUAAAGUUAUGCACUUCGGGGUAGCGAAUGCACAAGCAACCUACACCCUAAACGGUAGUGAAUUAAGGGUAAUGACAAAUGAGAAGGAUUUGGGAAUUGUUAUAGACAACAAACUAGGCAACAAUGUGCAGUGUCAGUCUGCGGUUGCUAAGGCCAGUAAGGUAUUGUCGGGUAUAAAAAGGGGCAUCAGGUCGCGGGAUAAAGAUAUAAUUUUGCCUCUGUAUAAAUCAAUGGUAAGGCCGCACCUUGAAUAUGCUGUGCAAUUUUGGGAACCUAUUCUAAAGAAGGAUAUCAUAGCACUAGAAAGGGUGCAGAGGCGGGCUACAAA